rnacentral:rRNA from 1 species
AACGGGUGAGCGGAACACGUGUGCAACCUUGCCUUAUCUGGGGGAUAGCCUUUCGAAAGGAAGAUUAAUACCCCAUAAUAUGUUGAAUGGCAUCAUUCGACAUUGAAAACUCCGGUGGAUAGAGAUGGGCACGCGCAAGAUUAGAUAGUUGGUGAGGUAACGGCUCACCAAGUCUACGAUCUUUAGGGGGCCUGAGAGGGUGAUCCCCCACACUGGUACUGAGACACGGACCAGACUCCUACGGGAGGCAGCAGUGAGGAAUAUUGGACAAUGGGUGAGAGCCUGAUCCAGCCAUCCCGCGUGAAGGACGACUGCCCUAUGGGUUGUAAACUUCUUUUGUAUAGGGAUAAACCUACCCUCGUGAGGGUAACUGAAGGUACUAUACGAAUAAGCACCGGCUAACUCCGUGCCAGCAGCCGCGGUAAUACGGAGGGUGCAAGCGUUAUCCGGAUUUAUUGGGUUUAAAGGGUCCGUAGGCGGAUCUGUAAGUCAGUGGUGAAACCUCACAGUUUAACUGUGAAACUGCCAUUGAUACUGCAGGUCUUGAGUGUUGUUGAAGUAGCUGGAAUAAGUAGUGUAGCGGUGAAAUGCAUAGAUAUU